UGAAGAUGGUCAUCACGUCUGGAAACAAUUGAGGAUCAAUACUCACUCAACAACAAAUGUUGUUUAGUAGCAUUCACGUUCUUGACAACACUACAAACAACAGCCAUGCCAAAAACUUUAUAAAGGAAUCUAACUCAAAUGAACUUAACAUCAAAGCAGAAUCACAUUCCAAAACUCACAAUAUAUUUUCAAGAAGAUGGCAAGCAGCCAACUUGUCCUGAUUGUUUCGUUGCUCCUUGCAUUAGCCGUUCCACUGAUAACUGCCUAUGACAAAGUGCCAACUAAGUCAGUAGAGAAGACUGACCAAGUGGUGGUUGAAGGCAUGGUCUACUGCCAGAGCUGUGAUAACUAUGGAUCAUGGUCUCUGUCAAAAGGUAAGCCCAUUGCAGGAGCUAAAGUUAGUGUUAUCUGCAAAAAUUACAAGAAAAGAGUCAGCUUCUACAAGGCAUUUAAAACAGAUGAAACUGGCUACUUAUUUGCAGAGCUGGAUGGCUUCAAAAUGGGGCAUUCUUAUCUUGACCAUCCUCUACAUUCAUGCCGCGUAAAACUGGUCGACUCUCCUCUAGAAAACUGUGAUGUGUUCACUAAUGUCAACUAUGGAAUCACUGGUGCUCGACUUCGAUUUUUAGACAAGACAUUGAAGCGAAGUAAUUACGAGGCUGUAAUUUAUGCUGCAGGUCCCUUCGCUUUCCGACCAGCUCACUGCCCUCCCAAGCCAGAAUAUUAAUUGAUUUCCAUCAUGUACUUUCAUAUUUUGAACUUUUUACUGGUUUUAUGCUUUCAUAAGAGUAUUGAGUAUAAAUUUUCCUUUUCUCUGUAAGCCAAUUGUGCAACAUUCUUCACAUUGCAAGCAACAUUGUGCU